CUUCACUGGCUCUGGCCGCAGACCAGGUUUAGGCUCUGCCCCCCACGCUUGGAGCGCAAGAAAUGAAACUAAGCUUGUUUUCAGGAAACUGAAACAGAAGCGGCCAGGUUUUUUUUUUAAGAAUUCUUCUUGCUUCAUUUGAAUACUCCUGCUGACCUCCCAAACCUCCCCAGGCAGGGACUGGGCACUCCCAAUUCCCUCCACAUCUAGUAAGUGCUUAUUGGGGAGGGCUCCAACUGCCUGGGGAGGAAACAGCAAAGUGGGACAGGACCAAAUGCUUUGAUUCUACCUCCUCCCCUGUGACCCCAAACAACUAGCCUUAACCAAUAAGCAGACUGGCAAAUCUCAAAAACAAACUUGGGCGGAGCCCAGGACCGGGGAUUUUUCUCUCGGCUUUACAGGGAAAGGACCCUUGAUUGAGCGGACUCAGAGACCAUUUGAGAAAUCAGCACAUGUAUCUCUGGAUGGAGACACAGCGGAAAAAGCUCCUAGCCGUCUCGGCUUUUCUGUUAGCCGUGAUCCUCAUACUGGCACCCCUCCUGGGGGUUUACUUAUACAGAGCCAACUCAGAAGCCUGUCAGCAGGGCUUGGUGCUACGGCAGGAAAGCCAGCAACUGAAGGAGAAGUUGAGGCAGAGCCAGGAAAGCUUCUUGGAGGUGGAGGCCCAAUGGCGGAGCUGCAGCAAUGUUUCGAGAGACCUGAACAAUAACUUGGAGGAGAUGGCAUCCCAGAGAGAUUCGCUGCUCAGUCAGCUACAGAAGCUGAAGGAAGAGAACCAGAAUUUUGCUGAGAAACUUAGGAAUGCUGAGGCAGCCCUGCAGAUGGAGAGAGAAAAAAAGAACCCAGAAGAGACAAGUACAGCACUGCCUGGCCCUCAGAUCUACUCUUUACUUCUGAGUCUAGGACUGGCCAUUACCUUGAUUCCCUGAGCAUUCUGAGCAAG
rnacentral:lncRNA from 1 species